ensembl:snRNA U6 U6 spliceosomal RNA
GUGCUUGCUUUGGCAGCCCAUACACUAGAAUUGGAGAACUACAGAGAUUAGUGUGGCCCCUGCUCAAGGAUGAAAUCCAAAUUUGUGAAGUGUUCCACAGUUAA